AUGUGUCUAAACAAAAAAACUUUUCUUAUUCGUCCUUUUCUAUCUUCCCACUCAUCUCCACUAUACCCCUCGUCUUCUAAUUCCUUCCAUUCGACCAAAGAAUUCUCUAUAAUAAUUCGCAAAUCCAAAUCUGCUAAUUGUUCUCUAAUAGAACUUGCUCCUGUCGCAAUUUCCCGAUUUCGAAAUGUUGCAAAGCCCGGGGAAGAAAAAGGAGAAAUGUUGUGGUUACAGGAUGCAAUUUCCUCUUCC
rnacentral:rRNA from 1 species